rnacentral:lncRNA from 10 species
UACCUACCUACCUAUCUGCCUGCCUACCUACCUACCUACCUACCUACUGCCUGCCUACCUACCUAUCUGCCUGCCUACCUACCUACAUACCUACCUGCCUGCCUGCCUGCCUACCUACCUACCUAUCUGCCUACCUACCUACCUAUCUGCCUGCCUACCUACCUACCUACCUACCUAUCUGCCUGCCUACCUACCUACCUAUCUGCCUGCCUACCUACCUACCUACCUACCUAUCUGCCUGCCUGCCUGCCUACCUACCUACCUACCUACCUACCUGC